rnacentral:lncRNA from 1 species
GAUGCCAUGGGCACACGGAACAACAACUCCUUCCCACACGGCAUCACACUCUAUCCAGACAGACACCCAUUGUCGGGAGAACAUUCUCUAAUCCCCCAUGAGCUUUUGCCUCAAAAUACGGAGUGAAAACAUGUUUAUUAUUUUAACAAAUAAUUUUCCUAUUUGCCUCUCGCUGUACCUUCGUAGGACAACCUCAACUGUCUUCACUGGACAAGAUUCCCUUUGAAUGCACAUUCAACCAUGCCCUCUCUCUCAAGCAAGGAAAACAAUCCAGAGCCAAACAACAGCCACAACUAGAGGCGGACUUCCCCAUUCUCUUAAAGGGGUUCCAUACUCUGUGCCCACCCAGGCAAGGUCUCAUCGACUCUAUCACUCAAUAUUAUUUCAUCCUGAAACUGGCGGGCUACUGAGGACGGCAUAACCUAUAAAUGCUGGCUUCUCAUGCCACCACAUCGGGACACAAAGCUGAGGCACCGCACCGACGCUGUCCUGAGGUAAUUUUGGCCGUAAAAGGUCCUGUAGGUCAAAAGAAGUUGCAUUCACUUAAAAACUAACUGCACCCCUUUUCUUAUACUUGUUUGUUGCAAUGUGUACUCCAGUGAAAACACAAAUGUAGGACAGGAGGGGUAAGAGGCCCUUAGGGCAUCCUUGUGGCCCAGUGGCAACAGCACAGGACUGAGAGGUCUUGAGACAUGGGUUCUAAUCCUGGACCUGGAACUUGACUGCUGGGUUAGCAGGGGCAAAUCAUUUAACUUCUCUAUCAGUCGACUGACCAAUGGUAUUUACUGAGCACUUACUGUGUGCAGAGCACUCUACUACGUGUUUGGGAAAAUACGAUAAAACAGAGUUGGUAGAAACGAUCCCUGACCACGAGAUUGAUUAUAGUCUCUAGGGGAAGACAGACAUUAAAAUCAAUUACAGAAUAAGGGAAAUGGCAGAGUGUACGGAUAUGUACAAAAGUGCUGUGGGGCUGAGGGGAGGGAGAAUAUUACGUGCUCCCUCAAUCACAUUUACUGAAUGCUGUGUGUGCAGAGCACUGUAACACUAAACUCUUGGGAGAAUACAAUAUAACAGAGUUGGUAGACAUAUUUCCUAAAAUAAAUUACAACUAGGGGGAAGUGAUAGAGUCUAAAGAGACAUACAUAAACAAAAUGGCAUGGUGUGAGUACCCAAGGGUUUAAGUGAUGUGGAAGUGCUGAAAUGGUCAUGGUGGAUGGGGGUGGGGAGAGGGGGAGGGUAAUAAGGUAGCAAAAUAAAAAAGGCAGGGAUCGGGUCUGCCAACUCUACUGUACUGCAGCACACCCCCAAGCUCUUAACACUGUCCUCUGCACAAAGUAGGUGGUCAAUACAUACGACUGAUUGAUCUCUGUAGCUAGUGGUGAAUGUGUGUGCCUAGGCUUGUUGAGAUUGUUGAGAUUCAGGAUUACAGAAAUCAGUCCUAGCUCUGGCAGUGUAAUGAUGACAAGAAUACCACUUCAGAAACAGUCACUAUACAUUUAAAGUGUAAUGGCUUUCAGUACAAAUUAAGUUCUUUAUCUAGCUGUCUUUAUAUUCUGAACCAACUGUGCUGUUCCUUCUCUGAAAAUGCAAAUGUUUCCUUCCUGGCUGUAUCAUAUUUGCAUCCUUCUUGCCUAAAGCAGAUUCUGAACUCUGGAAAGCUACCAAAAAAAAAAUCUCCACACAUUUGAAUCAGGAAAUAAUCAAUUUCAAUUAUUAAUAAUAAUAAUGGUACUUGUUAAGGGCUUACUAUGUGCCAAGCACUGUUCUAAAUGUUGGGGUGGAUGCAGGUUAUCAGGGUGGGACACAGUCCCUGUCCCACAUGGCUCUCACACUCUUAAUCCCUGUUUUACAGAUCCAGAGAAGUAAACUGACUUGCCCAAGUCAGCAGACAUGUGGUGGAGCAGGUAGUAGAACCCGGGUCCUUCUGACUCCCAGGCCCAUGCUCCAGCCACUAAGCCACGCUACUUUUCCCCUUUUCUACAGGGCAUGAAAAUUCAGCUCUGCUGGCUGCCUGAGGAACGUGGAGCUGUGAAAACACACAAAUGAUCACGUACAGAUGACCACUGUGUCCCAGUUUGCCACCUCAUCCCCUACAGGAGCCUGAAAUUCCACAGCCUUCAAAACUGUGGAAGUUUCAAAGGUAAUUUAUUUUAAAGCCUGUCACCCCCCUCUAGACUGUAGGGUCCUCGAGAGCAGGGAGUGUACUAUCAACUCUACUGUACUGCACUCUUCCAAAUGCCUAGUGCAAUGCUCUGCCCACAGUAAACACUUAAUAAAUAACAUUAAUCCUUUGCAGCAAAUUGAACUCAAGAACUAUUUUCACAGAGCAAAAACGAAAUCCCUAAAUUGGCUCAUUAGACUGUGACCUCAUGGAGGACAGAGACUGUGUUUUGCUUCUGCUGAAGCUUCCUUAGUGCUUAGUACAAUGUCUUGGACUCAGUAAUUGCUCAAAAAAUACCAGAUUAAAUGACUGAUCCCAUGUUUUACCUUCUUUGAGCAUUCCCCAAUCACCUAGUACCAUGCUCUGCAAGACAAUUACUGCUGAUGGAUUCAAAGGAGGAAUUCAUACUAGGAUUGAAUUUCAUUUUCAUGGGUUGUCUUCUUAAGGCGCUUGUUGCGAAGUGCUUUACCACUUGGUCCUAGGAGGCUUAAGCCAAGAGUCAGACUAGCUCCAAAUAUUUGUCUACUUCCUUCACUUCAGCUAUAUUCUAACAACUUACUUUUGACUCAUUCAGGUUUGCUACACUAUAUCUCCAUUUUCUUUUCUUUUUUUCACUCUUGGUUUUUGUAAAGUGCUUUCAUUCCCUAAACACUCAAGCAUUACUUAGUCCAUCUUUGCCCUUACAAUAACCCUGUGGGGUAGGUAAAUGGUAGGAAUAAUUAUUCCCAUUUUACAGAUGAGGAAAUUGAAGCCCA